AACGAACGUUCGCGGCGCGCCUAACACAUGCAAGUCGAACGAUUAAGACUCCCUUCGGGGAGUGCAUAAAGUGGCGCACGGGUGAGUAACACGUAAGUAAUCUACCUUUGAGUGGGGAAUAACAACCGGAAACGGUUGCUAAUACCGCAUAAUGCAGCGGCACCGCAAGGUGACAGUUGUUAAAGGAGCAAUCCGCUUGAAGAGGAGCUUGCGGCAGAUUAGCUAGUUGGUAAGGUAAUGGCUUACCAAGGCGACGAUCUGUAUCCGGUCUAAGAGGACGGUCGGACACGCUGACACUGAAUAACGGGUCAGACUCCUACGGGAGGCAGCAGUCGGGAAUUUAGGGCAAUGGGCGAAAGCCUGACCCAGCAACGCCGCGUGAAGGAUGAAGUAUUUCGGUAUGUAAACUUCGAAAGAAUGGGAAGAAUAAAUGACGGUACCAUUUAUAAGGUCCGGCUAACUACGUGCCAGCAGCCGCAGUAAAAC
rnacentral:rRNA from 1 species